rnacentral:rRNA from 1 species
UACGGUAGGGUCCGAGCGUUGUCCGGAAUUAUUGGGGCGUAAAGAGCUCGUAGGCGGUUUGUCGCGUCUGCUCGUGAAAUCCCGAACGGGCUCAACCUCGGGUCUGCAGUUGGGUACGGGUCGAGACGUGGAGGUGCGGUAGGGGAGAAUCGGAAUUCCGUGGUGUAGGCGGUGGAAUGCGCAGAUAUCAGGAGGAACGACCGAGUGGCGAAGGCAGUUCUCCGUGGGCCG